rnacentral:rRNA from 1 species
CCUACGAGCGGCAGCAGUGAGGAAUAUUGGUCAAUGGGCGCGAGCCUGAACCAGCCAAGUAGCGUGAAGGAUGACUGCCCUACGGGUUGUAAACUUCUUUUAUAAAGGAAUAAAGUGAGGCACGUGUGCCUUUUUGUAUGUACUUUAUGAAUAAGGAUCGGCUAACUCCGUGCCAGCAGCCGCGGUAAUACGGAGGAUCCGAGCGUUAUCCGGAUUUAUUGGGUUUAAAGGGAGCGUAGAUGGGUUGUUAAGUCAGUUGUGAAAGUUUGCGGCUCAACCGUAAAAUUGCAAUUGAUACUGGCAGUCUUGAGUACAGUUGAGGUAGGCAGAAUUCGUGGUGUAGCGGUGAAAUGCUUAGAGAUCACGAAGAACUCCGAUUGCGAAGGCAGCUUACUAAACUGCCACUGACAUUGAUGCUCGAAAGUGUGGGUAUCAAACAGGAUUAAAUACCCGAGUAGUC